rnacentral:lncRNA from 1 species
AUAUCCCCAGAAGCCUGGUAGGAGAGGAGUGAGCAGACAGAUUAGAUAAGAGGUCGGGAAGGGCAAGGCAAGUCCCUCUAAGCUGCCUCUGUUAUAGGAGGGGACAGUGGGACAAGGGGGAAGCAAGAGCAAUAUAAAUGGCAGGCGCUGUUUCACCACCGAAAAUAUCUUUCGGGACUUCAGAGGAUAGUCUGAGGGGACCCAUUUCACAGAUGUGGAAGCUGAGGUGCAGCGAAGUUAACCGUCUUGCUCAAAAGCAACCAGCUUUGGUGGGCAGGACGUGAAAGCGGCUACCUCCGUCACUGAAGUCCACACUAGUCCACUAAACGAGGCAUUUCUAUCUCUGAGAGAGAGAAUGGCACAAAAAUAAGUGAGAUAGGUGGGUCUCUGAGAUGUUUUAGAAUCCGCUGCAUUUGCCAGAGCCCUAAAUUAAAAAUUUGCCCAUUUCUGGGGACGCAGUUUUUAGCUCGCGUCAUGUCCCAGUUAAUUCAGGGCCGACGGAUCUGUGUGUUGAUUUGGCAAAGCUUAGUCUUUCCCCGAGCGGCACACACCCCCACCUUGUUCCGGCCACAUUCACCUGCUCUUUGCCGCUCCCUGUGCAGUGAGCGAGGUUAGGGGUGAAGAUGCUCUAAGGACACUAGGCAUUCCCAUCAUGUCCCUCCAACGUUGGACUGGAAUGAAGGGGAGGAGGGAAGAUGGAGUGGGCACCUCGUGCUCCUCGGAAGAGAUGCUCUAUGAGUUUAUACAGGGAAGCGAUUCUUCACCUCCUGAAAUGGCAUACAGUCGUUAGGCAAAAUGUUACUUACAUGCUCUGAUUUUCUGGGAGAGGUUUUUUCCUCAAAUUCUCGAAGGGAUCUGUAGGGCAAAAGCGGUUAAAAACCCACUGUCACAGGGUCUCUGAAUCAACUGUUAGGACAUUUAUCUCCGUUCAGUCUUCCUUUCAUUGAACACAUACUUGUUGACAUCCUACUAUGGCGAAUCUUGGUCAGGUGCAAGGACUGUGAUGGGGAGCCAGACUGAUGCUCCCUCUGUCAUGGAGCUAGUCUUUGAGUGAGGGACACAGCAUUAAACGACUCAUGUGGUGGCUCAUUCAUACGAUGGUGUUAAGGGCUUCAAAAAACAAGGAUGGAGUGCAGAGAAGAUCUGUUUCCUGGUCUAGUCUGGUGAGGAAUGGAUUCCUUGAGGCGGUGAUAUUCAAGCAGAGCUCUGAAGCGUGAGUAGUUAGGAGUAAACUGGAGUAAAGAGUGUUGUAAAUUCUGGCUACUCAAAGUGUGGUCUUCAGACCAGCAGCAUCAGCAUCACCUGGGAGUUUGUUAGAAAUGCAAACGCUCAAGCCUCAACACAGAUGUAGUAAAUAAGUAUUCGAACUUUUUAACAAGAUCCCCGGGUGAUUUCUAUUUGCAUUGAAGCUUGAGAAGUGCCGCUCUGAAGGGAAGGAAGAGCGUCUGAGGAGCUGUAAGAGGAUCGGAUGUCCCUGGGACUUAGAAAGAGGCGGUGGUAAUGGUAGAGAUGAGGCUGAGAGGAGCAGCGGCAGACCACCUCAGAUUCUUGUAGCCGUGUUAAGCAAAAAAGAAAUAUUCGAGGGCAAAUAAAUGAUUAUGCUUUUGCCCUGAAAUAGGAGCUGAAGAUGUCACAAUGAAUAGGAAGCGAUCUAUAGCCACAGGGAGCUCAAAAUCGCUUGGGGGAAAACUGAGACUCAAACAGGAAGACUAGCCCUGAGCUAACAUCUGCUGCCAAUCCUCCUCUUUUUGCUGAGGAAGACUGGCCCUGAGCUAACAUCCGUGCCCAUCUUCCUCUACUUUAUAUGUGGGACGCCUGCCACAGCAUGGCUUGACAAACGGUGCCAUGUCCCCACCUAGGAUCCGAAUCGGAUGAACCCGCUGAAGCGGAAUGUGCACACUUAACCGUUGCACCACCGGGCUGGCCCCUGAUCUCCAUUUUGAUGACACCUGGGGCCAUAACAGGCCAACAGGACUUGUGCAUUUUUCAUCUUUGAUAACAGAAAUCUGGGUGCUUUUCUGUUUAAGUCUGCCAAUGGCUUCUCACUGCUUUAAGCAUAAAAGAUAACGUGGCAGCCUAACUUUCUGCCACUCUGUUCUGGUAUCACCCCCUUCCCAAUAGACACACACACACACACUCCAGACACUCCUUCCUCCCCUUCCACACUUCUCUUCUCUUGUAUACUGGUUCUCUUGUGCUUUCUAUACUUGCCCUUGUCCUGGGUACCUCUCCCCAUCUCUGCCUUUUGGACCACCUAGACUAACUGUCCCCUUAUUUGAAAGCCUUUUCUAUCCUUCCCAGUCUGGGGAGGUGCCCCCAUCCCCUCCCAUUUCAGUCUGAGCAGCUCUUUCUCCCAACACUCAUGCACCUAUUCCGGACUAAAUGGACUAUUAUUUGUUGAUUUCUGUUACUCUUUCCUCCUCUUGGACUUGAGAUCCCCAGGUUCAUUGGUUGCAUUUUCUUUUUUAAUCUCUGAAGGCGGUAGGUGUCUAAUAAAUGUGUGUUGAACAA